rnacentral:rRNA from 1 species
GAGUUUGAUUCUGGCUCAGGAUGAACGCUGGCGGCGUGCUUAACACAUGCAAGUCGAACGAGAACCAUUGGAUCGAGGAUUCGUCCAAGUGAAGGUGGGGAAAGUGGCGGACGGGUGAGUAACGCGUGAGCAAUCUGCCUUGGAGUGGGGAAUAACGGCUGGAAACAGCCGCUAAUACCGCAUGAUACAGCUGGGAGGCAUCUCCCUGGCUGUCAAAGAUUUAUCGCUCUGAGAUGAGCUCGCGUCUGAUUAGCUAGUUGGCGGGGUAACGGCCCACCAAGGCGACGAUCAGUAGCCGGACUGAGAGGUUGGCCGGCCACAUUGGGACUGAGACACGGCCCAGACUCCUACGGGAGGCAGCAGUGGGGAAUAUUGGGCAAUGGGCGCAAGCCUGACCCAGCAACGCCGCGUGAAGGAAGAAGGCUUUCGGGUUGUAAACUUCUUUUGUCAAGGACGAAGCAAGUGACGGUACCUGACGAAUAAGCCACGGCUAACU